UUAUUUUUUAAAUUCUUUAUUUUUUGCUCUGACAGUCAAGCAUUGUUACAAUAGUGCAGACAUAGGUGGAUAAAUGACUGUAAAUAAAAUCUAUUUUUACAAACAGGCUGAGCCAUAGAGAAAUUAUGAGGAACAUGUCUGAGAUACAAGGGUCAUUGUCCAUCCUAUAGGUCAUGGGGCACAGAGUAUACUUCCGAUGAUUUAUGAGGCUCAAGUGAGUCUGUGUGCCAUAAGCUCUUAUGGGGCCACUCUUAUGUAAAAUGGGACUGAGGCACAUUUUAGAUCCUAAAGUUGUUAAUCAAAUUUGGGCCAAAUACAGAUGACUAUAUACUACACUGAUUACACCCUGUUCCAAAUUAUUAUGCAAAUUCUAUUUAAGUGUCACAAAGAUUAAAUAUUUUGUUUUUCAGUUUAACUCAUGGAUGGCAUUGUGUCUCAGGGCUCUUUUGAUCACUGAAAACAAUCUUGGACACCUAUGAUAAUGAGAUUGCCAGGUGAGCCCAAUUUAAGGAAAAACUACUAAAGGAGGGUGUUCCACAUUAUUAAGCAGAGCACCAUUUUUAUGCAAUAUGGGUAAGAAAAAGGAUCUCUCUGCUGCCGAAAAGAGUGAAAUAGUUCAAUGCCUUGGACGAGGUAUGAAAACAUUAGAUAUUUCACGAAAAACUUAAGCGUGAUCAUUGCACUAUUAAGAGAUUUGUGGCUGAUUCAGUGCACAGACGGGUUCGUGCAGAUAAAGGCACAUUGAGGAAGAUUUCUGCCAGAUCCAUGCAUCGGAUCAAGAGAGCAGCUGCUAAA